rnacentral:rRNA from 1 species
GAUGAACGCUGGCGGCGUGCCUAAUACAUGCAAGUCGAGCGAACGGACGAGAAGCUUGCUUCUCUGAUGUUAGCGGCGGACGGGUGAGUAACACGUGGAUAACCUACCUAUAAGACUGGGAUAACUUCGGGAAACCGGAGCUAAUACCGGAUAAUAUUUUGAACCGCAUGGUUCAAAAGUGAAAGACGGUCUUGCUGUCACUUAUAGAUGGAUCCGCGCUGCAUUAGCUAGUUGGUAAGGUAACGGCUUACCAAGGCAACGAUGCAUAGCCGACCUGAGAGGGUGAUCGGCCACACUGGAACUGAGACACGGUCCAGACUCCUACGGGAAGCAGCAGUAGGGAAUCUUCCGCAAUGGGCGAAAGCCUGAAGGAGCAACGCCGCGUGAGUGAAGAAGGUCUUCGGAUCGUAAAACUCUGUUAUUAGGGAAGAACAUAUGUGUAAGUAACUGUGCACAUCUUGACGGUACCUAAUCAGAAAGCCACGGCUAACUACGUG